UACAGAGGUCCCAAGCGUUGUUCGGAUUCACUGGGCGUAAAGGGUGCGUAGGUGGUGAGGUAAGUCGGAUGUGAAAUCUCCAAGCUCAACUUGGAAAUACUGCAUUGGAAACUAACCUUGCUAGAGGAUUUUGAGGGGGGGAUUGGAAUACUUGGUGUAGCAGUGAAAUGCGUAGAUAUCAAGUGGAACACCAGUGGCGAAGGCGAAUCCCUGGAAAAUACCUGACACUGAGGCACGAAAGCUAGGGGAGCAAACAGG
rnacentral:rRNA from 1 species